CACAGUUGCCACAAAUUGCUUUUCAGGAUAUCCUGGUGAGAGGUAGAUAUGCAGCCAAAACUUCAAAUCCAAACUUUAAAGUACCCCUGAGGUCCAAGUCUUAUCCCUCUACACAGACUGAGUUUGUUUCCCUUUGUUAGAUGCAUUUGAUUGUAGAUGUUGAAAUCUUUCCAGAAGCACAGACUGUCAUGUCAUUCUGGCCAACUGAUAAUCAAAGUAGAGGCAGUUACAGUAUCUCAAGACAACUCAGUAUUGCGUCACCGUCUGGAAGCAGGUUUUCUAGCGUGAAGGAUGGCCAAAUUCUAAUCGCUGGGGAACUACAUACUUCAGUGCUAGCUGCUCAGAUUCCAGUACAUGCACAGUCCACCAGAAAGAUCUACUGCUAUAAGACCUAGGGAGGCUGGAACCAUGCAUCUGUCUAGGACAGGGUUCACAUGCUGGUUGGGGCUGAUGGGAGCUGGAAUUCAAAAGCAACUGGAGGCGCACAGGUUUGCCACCCCUGGAGUAAAACUUGAAGAUGGAGUGGCAUGGAAGCUACCUAGCUGGCCUUCUGCUAUAGGCUUUUGCUGUCCAAGGAAGAAUUAGCGUUCCUAAUAUGGGAUCAAGAUAGUGCUUCAUAGAAUUCUUGGAACCAGACAGAAUAGUGAUGUCAUGCGUGGCCCAGAGAUCACCAGUUUGUCCACUCUGCUAUAUUCCAUGAAAAGCAAUAAAGACAGAACACAUGUAUACUGCAUCUCACAUCAGAUUUGUAAGAGCCUUUACAUGACUUCUUUUUUUCCAGGAAAUUGGAUGGAGAAACAUUAGUGUUCAGGUAGGCAAGGCCUAUUUGGCAUGUAGAAAAAGUUGUGCAAGAAAAUGUUAUUGUAUGUAACUAUGUAUUCAUUUUGAGUGCUCCCUCCUCCCCAUCUCCUGCCCUCCAUUUCACACGCAGUGACUCCCCUGGGAACCACAUAAGAAUUAAAAGUAGAAAUGAAUGGGAUUGAUGAUGGCUCUAUGCAUCUGCAACAGUUUUUGCUGUGUGAAAUGUCUAGAAGUGUUCCAUAGACAGGAUAAUUUAUUGCAUAUUUGAGCUGUGACAUAAUCCAUAAUCCAGCCAUAAUCCUCUCUUGUGUAACUAAGUGUUUGAAUGAAGCCCCACCAGAGCAGCUGCUUUUGAAGUGCCAUGUCGUUAACCAUUUUGGAAAAACAACAAAUAUCAGAUGAUCCUGCCCCUUCAUAAUGAUUUCUCUUUGUAUACUUUGGAUUCAUCACUUGCCAACAUUUGUUUUUGACUGACUUCAUGUUACAUCUAACAAACAUAUAUAA